rnacentral:rRNA from 1 species
UGAGGAAUAUUGGUCAAUGGGCGCAAGCCUGAACCAGCCAUGCCGCGUGCAGGAUGACGCAUCUAUGGUGUGUAAACUGCUUUUGUACAGGAAGAAACAUCCCGACGAGUCGGGACUUGACGGUACUGUAAGAAUAAGGAUCGGCUAACUCCGUGCCAGCAGCCGCGGUAAUACGGAGGAUCCAAGCGUUAUCCGGAAUCAUUGGGUUUAAAGGGUCCGUAGGCGGCUUAAUAAGUCAGCGGUGAAAGUUUUUGGCUUAACCAAAAAAUUGCCAUUGAUACUGUUAGGCUUGAAUUUUUGUGAAGUAACUAGAAUAUGUAGUGUAGCGGUGAAAUGCUUAGAUAUUACAUGGAAUACCAAUUGCGAAGGCAGGUUACUAACAAACGAUUGACGCUGAUGGACGAAAGCGUGGGUAGCGAACA